rnacentral:rRNA from 1 species
AUGGCUGCCAUCCUCCGCUGCUGCCUCCUGCUGGCCCUGGCUGGCCUGCUUCUCCGCAAUGCCGCCGCCCUGCCGCACCACGGCCCCGCCAAGCACGACUACCGGGACGCCCUCACCAAGUCCAUCCUCUUCUUCGAGGGCCAGAGGUCCGGCCGGCUGCCGCCGUCUCAGCGCGUGUCCUGGCGCCGGAGCUCCGGCCUCUCCGACGGCUCCUCCGUCAAGGUGGAUUUGACCGGCGGGUACUACGACGCCGGCGACAACGUCAAGUUCGGGUUCCCGCUGGCGUUCAGCUCGACGAUGCUGGCGUGGAGCGUGCUGGAGUUCGGCGGCAUGAUGAAGGGCGAGCUGCAGCACGCCCGGGACGCCGUCCGCUGGGGCGCCGACUACCUCCUCAAGGCCACCGCCCACCCCGACACCGUCUACGUCCAGGUUGGGGACGCGGGCAAGGACCACGCGUGCUGGGAGCGGCCGGAGGACAUGGACACGCCGCGCACCGUGUACAAGGUCGACCCCAGCACCCCCGGCUCCGACGUCGCCGCCGAGACCGCCGCCGCGCUCGCCGCGGCCUCCCUCGUCUUCCGCAAGUCCGACCCGGCCUACUCCAGCCGCCUCGUCGCCAGGGCCAAGAGGGUGUUCGAGUUCGCUGACAAGCACAGGGGCGUGUACAGCGCCAAGCUCUCGUCCUACGUCUGCCCCUACUACUGCUCCUGCUCCGGAUACCAGGACGAGCUGCUAUGGGGCGCCGCAUGGCUACACCGGGCGACCAAGAGCCCCGUCUACCUCAGCUACAUCAAGGUGAACGGCCAGCUGCUCGGCGCCGACGAGCAGGACAACACCUUCGGGUGGGACAACAAGCACGCCGGCGCCCGGAUCCUCCUCUCCAAGUCCUUCCUGGUGCAGAAGGUGGGCGCGCUGCAGGAGUACAAGUCCCACGCCGACAGCUUCAUAUGCUCCAUGGUGCCCGGCACCCCCACCGACCAGACCACCUACACCCGGGGCGGCCUCCUCUUCAAGCUCAGCGACAGCAACAUGCAGUACGUCACCUCCAGCUCCUUCCUCCUGCUCACCUACGCCAAGUACCUCGUCUCCGCCAAGAAGAGCGUCUCCUGUGGCGGCGUCGCCGUCACGCCCCAGCGCCUCCGCGCCAUCGCCAGGCGCCAGGUUGACUACUUGCUGGGGAGCAACCCGAUGGGCAUGUCGUACAUGGUGGGGUACGGCGCCAGGUACCCGAAGAAGCUCCACCACCGGGCCUCCUCGCUGCCGUCCGUGGCGGCGCACCCGGGGAAGAUCGGGUGCUCGCAGGGGUUCACGGGGCUCUACUCCGGCGCGGCCAACCCGAACGUGCACGUCGGCGCCGUCGUGGGCGGGCCCAACCAGAACGACCAGUUCCCGGACCAGCGCAGCGACUACGAGCACUCGGAGCCGGCCACCUACAUCAACGCGCCGCUCGUCGGAGCGCUCGCUUACCUCGCGCACUCCUCCGGCCAGCUCUAA